CUCAAACACAUCAAAGAAAUGGAUAACAACAAUCAUAUUCCUGACUUGGUACAUGCAUUUUCAUAUGUAGAAAAUGGUGGAUGAAAUCUGGUUUUAUAGCUAGGUAAAAAAAUCACAUUUGAAUGUCUACUCGCAGAGCUCUAAACAGUCCGAUUACAAACACUAAAAUUUAAAGCAAUGUACCAAAAAGCUAUAAAGGAGAGAUGGAAGAAAAAAGGAUAUUCAAACUCAUAAGUCAUAAUUCGGUCGUUUCGAAGUAACAAUUAAAACAAAAGGAACAUAUCCGUUGUAAUCUGCAUGCGAA
rnacentral:lncRNA from 1 species